ensembl:snRNA U6 U6 spliceosomal RNA
GGUGCUCCCUUUGGCACCAUAUUCUAGGCUAAACUUGGAACAAUACAGAAAGAAUUAGCAUGGCCUCUGCACAAGGAUGGUGUACAAAUUCGUGAAUUGAUCUGUAUUAAA